rnacentral:misc_RNA from 1 species
UCGCGGCUUAUCACCGGCAGUCCCCUUAGAGUGCCCAACUAGAUGAUGGCAACUAAGGGCGAGGGUUGCGCUCGUUGCGGGACUUAACCCAACAUCUCACGACACGAGCUGACGACAGCCAUGCAGCACCUGUGUUCCCGCCAGCCGAACUGAAGGAUUCCAUCUCUGGAAUCCAAACGGGACAUGUCAAGGGCUGGUAAGGUUCUGCGCGUUGCUUCGAAUUAAACCACAUGCUCCGCUGCUUGUGCGGGCCCCCGUCAAUUUCUUUGAGUUUUAAUCUUGCGACCGUACUCCCCAGGCGGCACGCUUAUCGCGUUAGCUUCGCCACAAGAGGGGUCGAUUCCUCUUACAGCAAGCGUGCACCGUUUAGGGCUAGGACUAC